GUCAAAAUAUAAAAGAGCACUUCCGAGCCAGGAAGAGUAAAAAAUAUUAAAAAUAAUAAAAAAUGAAACAAUAAAGAAUAGUGUGCGUGUUCCGAAAUAGGGAAAAUUGCAGUUUCCAGCAAGUUGCUACGGUUAAAUAUCUUAGCGAGCGUUCGGAUGUGAUUAUAAAUGUGCUAAUUAUUGAGCUAUUGGUAAACACUAAAGAAAAAAUGGUAAACGACUCCAGACACUGCGAACAAUCAACAGUGUCGUAAUGUUUCGGAGUCGGAGCUGGUUCGGGGGCGGCUGGGGCCGACCUAAGAACCCUCACUCUUUGGAGAGAUUGAAAUAUCUGCACAACAUACUAUGUAAGAACACUACAGUCUCAGAGAGUAACCGAGGUAUAUUGGUAGAGUCACUACGAUGUAUAGCAGAAAUCCUGAUAUGGGGCGACCAGAACGACAGUUCAGUAUUUGACUUCUUCUUAGAAAAGAAUAUGUUAUCAUAUUUCCUUAGAAUUAUGAGACAAAAAUGUGGAGGUUCGUCUUAUGUGUGUGUACAAUUGCUGCAGACUCUUAACAUAUUGUUUGAGAAUAUAAGAAAUGAAACUUCAUUGUAUUAUUUACUUAGCAAUAAUCAUGUCAACUCCAUAAUAGUUCAUAAAUUUGAUAUUUCUGAUGAAGAAGUUAUGGCAUACUAUAUAUCAUUCCUCAAGACUCUAAGCCUUAAGUUAAAUAAUCACACUAUACAUUUUUUCUAUAAUGAGCAUACAAAAGAUUUCCCUCUAUACACUGAGGCAAUAAAAUUCUUCAACCAUCCAGAGACUAUGGUGCGAAUAGCUGUAAGAACCUUGACGUUAAAUGUGUACAGAGUACAAGAUGCCAGUAUGUUAAGGUUUAUAAGGGACAGAACUGCUGCACCAUACUUCAGCAAUUUGGUUUGGUUUAUCGGCAAACAUAUUCUGGAGUUGAAUGCCUGUGUCAGAAACGAUGCUGACCACCAAUCUCAACAGAAACUCGACGACCUGGUUGCCGAACAUUUAGACCAUUUGCACUACAUCAACGAUAUACUAUGCCUCAACAUUCCAGAUCUCAAUGAUGUUCUAACAGAACAUUUAUUGCAUAAACUGUUAAUACCUCUAUACAUUUAUUCGCUCACGUCCGAAUCGAGCAAACGGCCUGCCACUUCAUCCCCUUACAACCGCGACCACAUCCAGAGCAUUGAAGUUAUAACGAGGAAUUUGGAAGCAAUUCUGACAGGAAAAAGUACCGAUACUCCUUCAAGGAUCAACUAUCCGUUGCAAAGAAUCGAAUCAGACGAUGAGACCAAACCAUCUGUGUCAUGUGUCGUGUCCUUGUUUCUUUUAUCACAAGUGUUCUUAAUAAUUACGCACGGUCCAAUCGUUCACGCAUUGGCCUGGAUAAUUUUACAGUCAGACUUAUCUGUCUUCGAAGAUGGCGCGACUAAAAUAUUAGACAUGUACGUCAGCAAUGCAAAGUCCAAUGUUAAACUAGAAUUUUCUAAACCGCAAUUGAGUUUGGAGAAAGCUUUAGAAAACACUUCCUGUCCAGACAGGGAUUACACUACUCCAGAGUAUUCAGGCGCUAAAGCGUUCGGUUACGAUACCGAUCAAUCGAGUUGCGAUCUCGAUCCCGAGUUGGUUUCAACGUCCCUUCCGUCCACUUCUCAUAUUAGUGAAUCAUCGAGUGUAGCUCACGAUUCAACUGAAGAUUUAGUGACGCAAAUUCAACCGGUCAAAUCUGAUAGUUCUGUGACUUUGUCUAAAGCGAAUAUGCCAGACUCGCCUUUGCCAGAUUCUGGGGUAGAGUCGGGUUCAUCAAAAGUGUCUGAAUUGAAUAAUAUAACUGAUGAAGAAAAACAGAAAUUGCUAGGAAAUAAACCUGGUGUCAAUGCUGAAAGAGUGGCGACGACUAUAGAACACAUAUUAGAAAAUGAAACGAGGAAUAUUGAGACGAGACCUUUUUUGAAAACCAUUUUAGACUCCCUAGACUGCAGCGAAAACGAUUAUAAAGCGCUAUUCGCACUUUGUUUGCUGUUCGCGCUGAUAAAUAAUAAAGGAGUUAAUCCGGAAUUGCUGGAUACAUUACUACUUUCGGAAAUAGAAGAUGAGUCUAAAUCGAAUGCAUCACUGAGCAACAAAGCAAACGUUAAUUCGGAUGAAACACCAGACUCGUCACAUGAAAGGAGCUCUAGCAAUGGAAAAAGAAAAAUUGAGAGUUUCAAUGCUCUUCUUAUAUCGAAGUUAAUGGCGAUAGCAGUUCUCAGUUGUAAACCUGCGUCCAAAGUCCGCCUGGUGACGUGCGAGCUCAGCGUGCGCUUGCUCCGCACGUGCAUGCAGGGCGCGAGCGCGCGCCACCGAGCGAGCGUCGACAACUUGCGCGCGCGCUCCGCGGCGUUGGCUAGGAACUUCUACAAGUGUGACGACAUAUUCUUGGACAUGUUUGAGGACGAGUACUGUGAGAUGAGCAAGCGUCCGUUGAACGUGGAGUGGUUGUGUAUGGACGCGGCAAUAUUGCUGCCGCCCACGAGGACGCCCAUGUCAGGGAUCGCUUUUGAGAAACGGCUUCCCAGUGGCGAAAUGGAGAGAGCUCGACGUGCGAUACGAACUUUCUUCCUAAUAAGGGAGUUGUCUUUGAAGUUGUCCGGCAAACCGGAAACUCUGUUGCCAUUGGCCAACCCGGCGCCUUUCGUGCAAGUUGCCGACAUAUUGGACCUUAACGAUUCGGACCUAAUAUCCUGCGAUAUAAUACAGAAGGACGGCACUUGGCAGCAUCGCUUCCUAGCUGUGGAUAACAUCCAAGUGAUUCUGGUAGAGCCUGACAAACAGCGGCUUGGCUGGGGAGUCGCCAAGUUGGUCGGCAGCUUGCAGGAUUUGGAAAUACAAGGCGAUAAAGACGAUCCCCGAUGUCUUCACCUGACGAUCCACAAGCCGCGCGUGGGCGCGAGCGCGUCUCUGCCCCGCACCGUGCUGUUGCGGGCGAAGUUCAAGUUCGACGACCACAUCCGCAGUAUGGCGGCCAAGCAGCGAUUAACUAAGGGUCGCACGAAGUCUCGUCAGAAGAAAAUGCAGCAGAUCGGUCGUCUGCUGGAGGUGUCGGGCGUGUCCGCGCCCGCGCCCGCCGCGCGCCACCGCCCGCUGUUCGCGCGCCCCGCGCUUGCCGCUGUGAGAAGACACUCGGGUAUAGACAGCGACGAACCAGAGCGCCGUCUGCGCAGGCCGAGCGGACACGUGCUCAAGGACGGCAUCGUUGUGUACCGAGAACGAACCACCAGCCGAGAGAGGUAAUAUGUAACAGGUAUAGACAGCGACGAACCAGAGCGCCGUCUGCGCAGGCCGAGCGGACACGUGCUCAAGGACGGCAUCGUUGUGUACCGAGAACGAACUACCAGCCGAGAGAGCAUAUCGCGCAGCAGUAGCGCUCACGCGUCUCGAGAAGGCUCGCCCAGAGCGCGCUCAGAAGAUAUUCCUCUAGAAGACAUAAGAAGGAACCCUGGCAUAGCCGCCGCUGUACCUUCCACCAGCAGUUCAAGUAGGGUUCCACAGGUAACGCCAAGUACGUCACAGCAUCCAAAACUAAAGAGUACAUCAUCUGAAGAAACAUCUUUCAUAUCGAGCGAACCGCGAGUGAAAAGAAAAGGCAUCGUCGAAACGAUAUGAUACUAGUAUCAGUAUUAAAACAGUGGUAUAAAAUUAUUGCAGCAUUAUUACGUGCUGCGUGCCUUGUUAGGGUUCCGUAAACGAAGGGUAAAACGGGACUCUAUUACUAAGAGUCCGCUGUCUGUCCUUACGUCUGUCACCAGGUUUUAUUUAUUGAACUGUGAUAUACAUUAUACAGUUGAAAUGUUUACAGAUGUAUUUCUGUUGCCGCUAUAAUAACAAACACUAAAAACCAGAAUAAAAUAAAAAUUAAAGGGGGCUCCCAUACAACACACGUGAUUUUUUUAGAUAAUGGUACGGAACCCUUCGUGCGUGAGUAGAACUCACACUUGGCCGGUUUUUUUUAUAGCUUAGAAGUGCUGUAGGGUUUGGCAGAGGUAAACUAUUGAGUAGCGGGCAGAGCAUUCGUCAUUCAUUCAUUCGUUCAUUAAUGAAUUAUCAUACAGGGGUUGCCGUACAGGGGGUAUGACGACAGAAGGGACAAAUAGCGGGUAGAUCACUCAUUCAUUCAUUCAUUCUUAACAUAGCUGAGUCUUUGUCUACGCCGUACAGGGGGUAUGACGACAGAGGGAACAAGUGAAUAGCGGGUAGAGCACUCAUUCAUUCAUUCAUUAAAGAAUUAACAUAGCUGAGUCUUUGUCUACGCCGUACAGGGGGUAUGACGACAGAGGGAACAAGUGAAUAGCGGGUAGAGCACUCAUUCAUUCAUUCAUUAAAGAAUUAACAUAGCUGAGUCUUUGUCUACGCAGUACAGGGGGUAUGAUGACAGAAGGAACAAGUGAAUAGCGGGUAGAUCACUCAUUCAUUCAUUCAUUCAUUCAUUAAAGAAUUAACAUAGCUGAGUCUUUGUCUACGCAGUACAGGGGGUAUGACGAUAGAGCGAACAAGUGAAUAGCGGGUAGAGCACUCAUUCAUUCAUUCAUUAAAGAAUUAACAUAGCUGAGUCUUUGUCUAUGUCGUACAGGGGGUAUGACGACAGAGGGAACACGUGAAUAGCGGGUAGAGCACUCACUCAUUCAUUCAUUAGUGAAUUAACAUAGUAAUUUUUCAGCACAUGGUAUGACUAAAUUGCACUGGAGGCAAGGUUUGUUGUAUUUUGAUGAAAAAUCAAUAUAACUUGAAAACCGUAAAAUUUCGGCCAUCAUAUAUUUCGUUAUUUUAGUAGGCCUUGAUGUCAGCUAUCUUCCCGUAAAGUAUGUCGUACUAUUUACAGGACACCCUGUAUAAAACCCAGACACUGGAAAACAAAAUCAUAGGAACAUUUUCCAGUUGGGCAAUCGACUCCACAGCCUUUGAUGCAGAGGACAAAAUCUCUGCUCACUGUACCCUUAGCCAUCAAAAUUAAUUCAAUCUAUGCUCUUAUAGCUGCAUUGAGAUAAGUUGUUGAACAUUAUUUUUUACCUUACUCGGCAGCUAUGUUCAUAAUAUACUCAGAGGCACAAUUAUCCGCCCAUUUUAGUACACUCGUGCCGCGGCGGGUAAUUGUGCCUCUAAGUAUAUUUGAUAGUAAUAAAUGCACUCUGCUACGCCCUGGCCCUAAGGAAUAUUAUGUUACACGAAGAUCAUACCAAUGCGAUCAAAAAGCUUGCGUGUUGCGUUCAACCAAUGAGAGAGUGAUUUUAAAUCGCGUCUUGUGAUUGGUCGAAUUAACUUCAACACAAGUAAAUUAUUGUAAGCUGUACGUUUAUUGAAUGAACGUUUAAUAGGCUAGUUGACACUUUUUUUUAAUGGUUUUAAAUUGUUGACACUUUUUUAAAUGGUCUUAAAUGAAAAUUUUUGUUUUUAAAUAUGUUUUUGACAAUCUAAGCCAAAAUGCCUGUCCGCCAUGAUAGUCUAUAUUUCAAUUGUUUCAUGACGUCACUAUAAUAAAUCCCUUACAAACGGAGCGUUACAAUUAGUUUGACGUUUAUCGUAUAUCAAGUGUGUUAGUGACGUCACAAAAUGGGCGACAGCGUUUUUGACGUUUGGAAAAUUUUAAAAAAUACGUGAUAUAUAAUUUUUUUUUAAGUAAUCCUUAAUUGAUAUCGAUAUAUCUCGGACCUUUAUUCUAUGUAGUACACGAAAUUAAUAUUAUUUAUAUUAAAUUUGAUAUAAGUCAACUACCCUAUUAACGGCCUAGGCACCCGAUUAAAAAGCUAAUUUUUCUGUAUAACUGCAACAUAAACCAGGAUUAAAGUAAUUUACUCAUACUGUCGAUAUAAAUACAGCGUCAAACGCCUUGCUGUGGUCUUCAAUUUAAAAAGGUAUUAAUAUGUGUCGUCCAUUAAAUGUAUUUCCGGGUUGUUAUUUAAGUAUUGUACAUACGUUUAGAAUAUUGUCGAAUGGUAAAGGCAUCGCCCAUUAUAACUUGACCAUUAUAUUUCACAUCAUACUUCCAUAUUUUUUAAGAUGCGCUGUGCGUAUAACUUAUAGGUUUGUGUAUUGCUUGUGUUGUGUGUUAAUUUGUUAUAUUGUGUAAUGACCUUUAUGUAUGGCCAAAGAGCUGGUAGACAUUUUAGAGGCACUAUGAAAACUUGUUCAGUACUUUUUAUUUCAUGUCUGAGUAUAAAAUAAUGUAAUUUAAACUGUUUACUCUAUUAACAAUGGAAUUCAUAAACGUUGCAGGGGCACCCCCAGGGGCCAUUCACCGGCUGAGUGUCGAAUUCUCAUAACUACCCAGGGGAUCUGGGGGCGCCCCCACAAUGUGUAUACAUUUUAUAAAUUCCAUUACGAUGUGGUAUAAUAUAUAAUUCCAUUACCCAUACCCUUAGUACCAAAAAACUCUCAAAAAUGUCUACCAGCUCUUAUACUACUAUAGUUGUUGUCAAGUGAUAGAUAGUGAUAGCGUUUGUGAGAGUCACUUCAGUUUUAGUUUAAAUUUUUUAAAAAAUUGAGGGCUCUUAGAGUAUUUUUAAUUCUUUGACAAUUUAUUUACUUACUAUUAUUAACAAUUUAUUUAUAUACUAUUAACAAUAAUAAUAAUAAUUAUUAUUAUUUAAUACCAGUUUCAUGUAUUUUAUAAUUUGAGAUCAAAUUCCAAGUAAUUGUAUUCAUAUUGCCUAUCGAUGUAUGUAUUUUAUUUUUAUAAUUUUAAUGGUGCCCCAAAAAUUAUAAUUAUUUGUUUAUUGUUAUCCUGUUUUUAAAAUAUUUGUACUUUUAGUUAUUUUUUUUUUAAAUUAAGUUAUACAAUUAAUAUUAUAACUCGUAUUAUGUCUGUGCUAUUAAAAGUAAUAAGAUAGAUGUGAUAAAUCAAAAUGUCCUCCUGAUAAAAUAGUACUUUUCUCAAAAAAAUACUAAUGACUCCUUUACUACGUCCUUUCAAAUACUAUUUUUACAUAUUAUGAUAUUAAAAAAUGUUGGUCAAUGGGAAAAGGAAAGAUGUAUACUUAAUGAUAAUUGAAAAGUUUUUCGCGUUGUCAAAUCAUGCUACGGAUUAUCUUAGAAAGUUAAUUAAACUUAAGUUUACCCGAUUAUUACUAGUAAUACCCAACCCUUUUUGGUAAAAUCCGAAAGGCGGGAGACCGACCAUUUAAGGCCCAGGUCAUUACAGAAAAAAAAACCAUAAAAUCCUUAAAAAAUCAAAAUCACGAUCAUCAUCAUCAUCAUCCUAUCAGCCGAUGGACGUCCACUGCAGGACAUAGGCCUUUUGUAGGGACUUCCAAACAUCACGAUACUGAGCCACCUGCAUCCAGCGAAUCCCUACGACUCACUUGAUGUCGUCAGUCCACCUGGUGGGGGGUCGGCCAACACUACGCUUACUAGUGCGGGGUCGCCAUUCCAGCACUUUGGGACCCCAACGUCCAUCGGCUCUUCGAACUAUGUGCCCCGCCCAUUGCCACUUUAGCUUCGCAACUCGUUGAGCUAUCACGAUAUAUAAUUAGAAUACACAGUUAUUAUUUUUGGAGUGCCCUUUUUUUCUUGAAAUCGUGCAUUUUAAAAAGUAGGUAGUAUUGAAUAUGCAACUGUCAAACUGAAUUUAAACCAAUUUACUGAACUGAAUCGAUAUUAUUAUUCAAUAAAUGACAUUAAUUUGGACAUUGUAAAGGUUCUUUCAUCAUAUUUAGGCCCAUCAAUGUAUAAAAAUGGUUGGUCUUCUGUAAAACAAAUUAAAUUUGUUUUCAGUAUUUACCCAUAAAUACAUCUAGACCCAUGGAUGCCCUUUUAAUUUUGUACUUUACCUAAAAGGCUUGGGUAAUAAAUACCCUGGUAAACUAAAAUUUACUUAUCAAACCAAAUUAAUAAUUUUAUUUUUAAUUGAAUUUCCCAACUUUAUUUUCACUUGACAAAUAUAAUUGACUAAUAUUUUUCCUUAAUAAAAUUGAUUGUGACCGUAAGUAUAUGUUGUGAUUUUAUUUUAAGAAAAUUUCGAUGAAAGUGUGUGUAAAUAAAUUUAUUUUAUUUAAAAAUUUGAUUGUAUUAAUAGGUACUAAAAUAUUUUAGAGUUGGAUAAAUAGAUAUUAUAUUAUGACAUGUUAA